rnacentral:lncRNA from 1 species
CACGAUAAGAUACAGAUUCAAUUCAAUCAUCGUCCACUGCUUGCUUCACCUUGUUGCCGCCUCCGGCUUGCUCCACCGUCGUCGUCACCUCCGGCUUGCUUCAUCGUCUCUGUAGCCUCCGGCUUAUCCCACUGCCGUUGUUCAUCAACUGCUUCAGGCUUGCUUCAUAGGUACGCGCUAAUUUUCAUUACAAAUUGCGAUUUUGUUUCUAAUUUUGACCGUUUCCUUGUAUCAGUGUGUCUCUUAUCUUAUUUGCAAAAGCACUAAGUUGGAAUUGUGAACUAAUCUACAAUCGUUUCUUCUAAAAUCAUGAACUGAUUUUGAUUUGGUUAAUUAUGGAUUCAACUUUCUGAUCGUUCCAGUACAAUUGCAACCUCAAUGCGUCUCUUUUCUAGUUUGAAAAAGCAUGAAUUUGGAACUGUGAACUGAUUUGGAAUCAUUUCCUAUAUAAUCAUGAAUUGAUUUAUAAUUGCUUAAUCAUGAUUCUUUUUUGUGAUUGUCCCUGUACAAUAUCAAUGUUCUAAUUUUUUUUUAUAGUUUCUUGCACAAUUUUGUAUCAGACUUUUGUUAUCAAAUUUUCGAUUAUAUAUCCAGUCUUCAAAUCCAAACAUCAAUGUGAACUGAUUUGGAGUGGUGUUCUAGUUUUUUGAUCGUUUACUGUACAUCUUUAUGGCUUCACAACAAGAUAACGUUUGGUUACAUUUGAGUUCUAUUUGAUACCUUUUUGGUUUCAUUUGAGUUGAAUGUUAUUUAAUUUUAGUGUAUGUGUGAUUAUCUAGCAGAUGGGUUCAAUAGAGUCAAAAAAGAAAGAGAAAGAAAGAGAAAAGAAACAUACAUGGAUAAACAAGUGUUUCCCCAUAGCCUAAUCCACCAGGAAAGUCUCUAGCUAAAGCCAUAAGUAAUUCAACAGUAUCUUUAGCAGCCAAGUCUGCAAAUGAUUUGACUCAGUCCAAUGCUAGUUCUCAAGGCACAUUGCAAUAUAAUGUCACCGGUUCAAAAAAAAAGUUAUAUAUGGUAGACAUAAAUAUAUUUAUAUAGUCUAAGGGGUAAAGUGUAAAAUUUGGUAAAAUAGAGAAAAGGGUAGAAUUGUCUAUUUAUUAAAAUUUGUUGUGUAUUUAUAAAUCUUGUUAUGUACGGAUCAACUCCCUUUUUAAAUACAGUCUCACGUAUCCAUAAUUAAAAAACCCACGGUUUGUUUCAUUCACAUUCCAGAGCAAGAACAACAGAAUAAAGUAAAAAAUAUUGAAGUUGCCAUGCAUUCUUCUCUUUGGUAUGAUUUAACCGUUUUUUCUGAUGAGUUGAAGUAAUCGAUGUAUUCAUCUUCCUCUUUUUACUCUUGGCCUUUUAAUCGGUGCUAUUACACGUAUUAACUGCAUAUUAAUAAAUAAUAACUAAAGAAUGUGACAGAAAAAUCAACACAACUGAAGUAACUAUACUCUAAUUUGGGCAUUAAAACAGGGACACAACUUAAAUAAAUAUACUCUAAUUUUGCUGAUAACAUUGUUUAGUAUAUUCAGUUCGAUUUCAGAUCCAUUAAGUUCAUACCUAACUAACGUCAAAGAAUGAUAGAUAUAUUCUCUUUUCUUUUACAAGAGUCAACAACAUGCUUAUCAAACUUCAUUUGAAUACAAGGGCAGUCUGGUCAUUAUUCAUUACACAGUAAUUUUUUUUCCUCAAUGAAUGAAUAUAUAAAUAGGGAUCAUAAUUGUUAGCAUAUAUAUUUUUUGUUUUAUUCUUAAUAGCAAUUAAUAGCAAUGUCCCAUGUACUAAUAAGAUUGUCACAUUGAACCUUUGUAGGAGCUGCAUAAAUUUGUGACAUCAGGUACAAAUACAGUUCAUUAUUAUCAUCCUACUUUUAAAAAAAAUGACUUUUUGGUUUCUUAAUUUUUUAAUUUCAGUUACAAAUUUCCUACUUUAAAU